rnacentral:rRNA from 1 species
GACGAACGCUGGCGGCGUGCCUAAUACAUGCAAGUCGAGCGCAGGAAACUGACGGAACUCUUCGGAGGGAAGGCAGUGGAAUGAGCGGCGGACGGGUGAGUAACACGUAAGGAACCUGCCUCAAGGAUUGGGAUAACUCCGAGAAAUCGGAGCUAAUACCGGAUAGUUCAUCGGACCGCAUGGUCCGUUGAUGAAAGGCGCUUCGGCGUCACCUUGAGAUGGCCUUGCGGUGCAUUAGCUAGUUGGUGGGGUAACGGCCCACCAAGGCGACGAUGCAUAGCCGACCUGGGAGGGUGAUCGGCCACACUGGGACUGAGACACGGCCCAGACUCCUACGUGAGGCAGCAGUAGGGAAUCUUCCACAAUGGACGAAAGUCUGAUGGAGCAACGCCGCGUGAGUGAUGAAGGUUUUCGGAUCGUAAAACUCUGUUGUAAGGGAAGAACACGUACGAGAGGAAAUGCUCGUACCUUGACGGUACCUUACGAGAAAGCCACGGCUAACUACGUGCCAGCCGCCGCGGUAAUAC